GGGGUCAUUUCGGGAGCACACAUACUGAAAUUGGAAUCAUACAGAGAUUAGUAUGGCCCCUGUAUGAGGAUGGCAUGAACAUUCCUGAAGGUUUCCUGAAUAUU
ensembl:snRNA U6 U6 spliceosomal RNA